rnacentral:rRNA from 1 species
GUGCGGGGCGCGUGCUAUACAUGCAGUCGAGCGAGCUGAACCAACAGAUUCACUUCGGUGAUGACGUUGGGAACGCGAGCGGCGGAUGGGUGAGUAACACGUGGGGAACCUGCCCCAUAGUCUGGGAUACCACUUGGAAACAGGUGCUAAUACCGGAUAAGAAAGCAGAUCGCAUGAUCAGCUUAUAAAAGGCGGCGUAAGCUGUCGCUAUGGGAUGGCCCCGCGGUGCAUUAGCUAGUUGGUAGGGUAACGGCCUACCAAGGCAAUGAUGCAUAGCCGAGUUGAGAGACUGAUCGGCCACAUUGGGACUGAGACACGGCCCAAACUCCUACGGGAGGCAGCAGUAGGGAAUCUUCCACAAUGGACGAAAGUCUGAUGGAGCAACGCCGCGUGAGUGAAGAAGGUUUUCGGAUCGUAAAGCUCUGUUGUUGGUGAAGAAGGAUAGAGGUAGUAACUGGCCUUUAUUUGACGGUAAUCAACCAGAAAGUCACGGCUAACUACGUGCCAGCAGCCGCGGUAAUACGUAGGUGGCAAGCGUUGUCCGGAUUUAUUGGGCGUAAAGCGAGCGCAGGCGGAAGAAUAAGUCUGAUGUGAAAGCCCUCGGCUUAACCGAGGAACUGCAUCGGAAACUGUUUUUCUUGAGUGCAGAAGAGGAGAGUGGAACUCCAGGUGUAGCGGUGGAAUGCGUAGAUAUAUGGAAGAACACCAGUGGCGAAGGCGGCUCUCUGGUCUGCAACUGACGCUGAGGCUCGAAAGCAUGGGUAGCGAACAGGAUUAGAUACCCUGGUAGUCCAUGCCGUAAACGAUGAGUGCUAAUGGUUGGGAAGGUUUCCGCCUCUCAGUGCUGCAGCUAACGCAUUAAGCACUCCGCCCGGGGGAGUACGACCGCAAGGUUGAAACUCAAAGGAAUUGACGGGGGCCCGCACAAGCGGUGGAACAAGGUGGUUUAAUUCGAAGCAACGCGAAGAACCUUACCAGGUCUUGACAUCUAGUGCAAUCCGUAGAAGAUACGGAGUUUCCCUUCGGGGACACUAAAGACAGGUGGUUGCAUGGCUGUCGUCAGCUCGUGUCGUGAAGAUGUUGGGGUUAAGUCCCGCAACGAGCGCAACCCUUGUCAUUAGUUGCCAGCAUUAAGUUGGGCACUCUAAUGAAACUGCCGGUGACAAACCGGAGGAAAGGUGGGGGGAUGAACGUCCAAGUCAUUCAUGCCCCCUUAUGAACUGGGGCUACACACCUUGCUUACAAUGGGACAAUACCAACCAAGGAAGAAAGCCCUGCCGAAGGCAAGAGAAAAUCCUUUAAAACGGUGUUCUCAUUUUCGGAGAGAGGGUUUUGCGAAUUCAACAUGGCCGAAAACUUGGUAUUC